ensembl:snRNA U2 U2 spliceosomal RNA
UUCGCUUCUUCGCCUUUUGGCUAAGAUCAAAUGUAGUAUCUGUUCUUAUCAGUUUAAAUUAAGACAACUAAACACAAAGCCUAAAUGAUUCUUAGAGUUUGGAUAGUUUUUGCCAGUAUCAUUCCUU